rnacentral:lncRNA from 1 species
AUUUAUUAUCUCCUGCUGGCAAUUGUUUGAAGGAUGGCAACAUUUAAUAUCUAUGUGGGGAAUAACCAUAGCACUCAUUUUUGGUGAUUCUCAGUUUAGAUAGAUGGCAGUUAGUGGAAGCAAGCAAUUGUGGCAAAAGGGAACCUUGUGUAACUGUCACAGUUCACAGUACUUGAAACCAGCCUGUCGACUGUGUAUCUCACAGCUCUCUCUUCAUAACCUAUCCAGACAUGGAACUGACAGUGUGCCUCUUUUUAUUUCCCUGAACCUGACCUUGGCUUUGUUGGUAACAGACAACUCUGCAUAUGAAUCAGUGUUCCAAGUAAUCCAGAAAGUGAGCCACUGCUGAGAACAAGAAGGAUCUGGAAAGCCACGAGUCAGCAGAGAAGCCAAGGAGACUCUAAGAUGUCUGGAGAGUCUCCAGAAUCAGCACAGCAUGCUCUCCACCAGGGCUCUGUCCUGCACAGGUAAGAUUGAAGUCUUUUCCCUCUCAGCCACUAUAUUGGAGAUGAAAUGUAUAUGAGUAAUUGAUACUGCUAGCCUGAGGGUCCAACUUCUAAUAUUGUCAUUUUUAAUUUUUUUUUUUUUUAAGUUAGGUAUCUCCAUUAGAAUUCAAAGAUCCAUGAGUGUUAGUGUUGCCUUCAAAGUUGUCAUACUGGUAGGUUAUAUAGAUUUUUAAAAAACACUACUGCCACUUAUCAAGACAAUUGGAG